rnacentral:tRNA from 1 species
GCGAGAAUAGCUCAGUUGGUAGAGCGCAACCUUGCCAAGGUUGAGGUCGCGGGUUCGAAUCCCGUUUCCCGCU